rnacentral:rRNA from 1 species
AGUGAACGCUGGCGGUAGGCCUAACACAUGCAAGUCGAACGGCAGCACAGUAAGAGCUUGCUCUUACGGUUGGCGAGUGGCGGACGGGUGAUGUAUACAUCGGAAUCUACUUUUUCUUGGGUGAUAACGUAGGGAAACUUACGCUAAUACCGCAUACGACCUACGGGUGAAAGCAGUGGAUCUUCGGACCUUGCGCGUUUGUAUGAGCCGAUGUCGGAUUAGCUAGUUGGCUGGGUAAAGGCCCACCAAGGCGACGAUCCGUAGCUGGUCUGAGAGGAUGAUCAGCAACACUGGAACUGAGACACGGUCCAGACACCUACGGGAGGCAGCAGUGGGGAAUAUUGGACAAUGGGCGAAAGCAUGAUCCAGCAAUACCGCGUGGGUGAAGAAGGCCUUCGGGUUGUAAAGCCCUUUUGUUGGGAAAGAAAAGCAGCAGGUUAAUACCCAGCUGUUGUGACGGUAACCAAAGAAUAAGCACCGGCUAACUACGUG